UGGCACACAUUUACAAUAAAUAACUAUGUGUAUUGCUUUGUGUAUGAAGUUUGAGUGUCAAUUAAAGAGCUGUAACGCCCGAUCACAGCAGGCAACAUGUCAAACAUAUUCCUCUGUCAAAUAAAUAAACCACACAUUGAAUAUGACCAGCUCAGGUCAACCUGGCUGCUCAAAGAAGCCCUCCCCAGUUCAUGUCAUCGUGGAGCGAACGUGUAGGAGUAUUACGCAAAUAAUCAACAAGUAUAAACAAAAAAUAUAUUUCGAAACGCGCCAGGAGCUGGCCAAAUCAAAAUGCCGAGACUGUGGCCAUUUGAUUGGACGCUGCAACUUUGACCUAAUGACGAAGGGACGACGUUUUCAUUUUAUGAGAUGCGAAGAAAUAGGCGCUGGCGUUUUUGUUGUAACAAUGUCGAUCUUGCUUGGAAUGGGCCUUUUCUUCAUACGACGAUACAAUCACACUUUUAUCUAUGGAUCUGGCGGUUGUAAGGCGACCAUUUUUUGGACCAACAACGAUUGCCAGAUAUUGGCCUAGGCUACGUUGUUGCCGAGGUAAAUCUUGUCUUACCGAUCUUACAGAUUUGAAGAGCUUGCAUAUUUAGGUUGAUGUGAAGUCGAUAAAUACAUAAUUUAGACUAGGAUAA